rnacentral:rRNA from 1 species
UACGGAGGGAGCUAGCGUUAUUCGGAAUUACUGGGCGUAAAGCGCACGUAGGCGGCUUUGUAAGUAAGAGGUGAAAGCCCAGAGCUCAACUCUGGAAUUGCCUUUUGGACUGCAUCGCUUGAAUCAUGGAGAGGUCAGUGGAAUUCCGAGUGUAGAGGUGAAAUUCGUAGAUAUUCGGAAGAACACCAGUGGCGAAGGCGGCUGACUGGACAUGUAUUGACGCUGAGGUGCGAAAGCGUGGGGAGCAAACAGG